rnacentral:ncRNA from 18 species
UUAACCGGCCGCAGUACCGGUGCCUCUCGAAGGAGGGGUGAAACGGGAAUGCGGUGCGGGACGCUUGUCCCAAUGCCGCAGCUGCCCUCGCAACUGUGGGCGGAUCGGAGUGUCCUUGACGCCACUGGCCAAUGGCCGGGAAGGCGGACGCUCCAAAGAUCCGCGAGCCAGGAGACCGGCCGGUACCUCUGAAAGAACU